rnacentral:rRNA from 1 species
UACGAAGGGGGCUAGCGUUGUUCGGAAUCACUGGGCGUAAAGCGCACUAGGCGGAUCUUUAAGUCAGGGGUGAAAUCCCGAGGCUCAACCUCGGAACUGCCUUUGAUACUGGGGAUCUCGAGUCCGGGAGAGGUGAGUGGAACUGCGAGUGUAGAGGUGAAAUUCGUAGGAUAUUCGCAAGAACACCAGUGGCGAAGGCGGCUCACUGGCCCGGAACUGACGCUGAGGUGCGAAGCGUGGGGAGCAAACAGG